GACGAACGCUGGCGGCGUGCUUAACACAUGCAAGUCGAACGGAAAGGCCUUGCUCUUGCUGCGUGCUCGAGUGCCGAACGGGGGAGUAACACGCGAGUAACCUGUCCUUGUCUUUGGGAUAACUUCAGGAAACUGGGGCUAAUACCCGAUAGGAGCUCCUGCUGCAUGGUGGGGGUUGGUAAGAUUCGGCGUUUGGGGAUGGAAUCGCGGCUUAUCAGCUUGUUGGGGGGGUAGUGGCGUACCAAGGCUUUGACGGGUAGCCGGCCUGAGAGGGUGACCGGCCACAUGGGGACUGAGAUACGGCCCAGACUCCUACGGGAGGCAGCAGUGGGGAAUAUUGCACAAUGGGCGGAAGCCUGAUGCAGCAACGCCGCGUGCGGGAUGACGGCCUUCGGGUUGUAAACCGCUUUCGCCUGUGACGAAGCGUGAGUGACGGUAAUGGGUAAAGAAGCACCGGCUAACUACGUG
rnacentral:rRNA from 1 species